GAGGGUAUAGCUCAGUGGCAGAGUACAUACCUAGCAUGCACAAAGUCCUGGGUUCAAUUCCCAGUACCUCUG
rnacentral:tRNA from 1 species